CUGUGCUUCACCUUUUUAUAUAGGUUGUACAGGAAAAUGAAAAUGUCGUCUUCUGCUUGGAGUGUGCCCUGCGGCAUGUGGAAAAACAGAAGUCUUGUCGGGGACUAAAAAUGAUGUACCGGUAUGAUGAGGAACAAAUAAUCAGUCUGGUCAAUCAAAUCUGUGGAAAAGUAUCUGGUAAAAACGGCAGCAUUGAGAACUGUAUCAGCAAGCCUACACCAAAAAGAGGACCUCGUAAGAGAGCAACAGUCGAUGUGCCAUCAUCUAGGCUUUCAUCCUCCAGCUCAUCCAAAAGUGCUUCAAGUUAAUCCUGAAGAUGCCAACACUCUCAUUUUGUCAAUUUAUAUAUAUUUUUUGUAAUUAUUAUACCAUAGUUUGGAGUACUUGCUGUAGAAUACAAGCUGUCUUUGCACUAGCUCUAAAGAAGAUUUUCUUCUGGUUUUAGAGAACUAAUUUUGUUUUAGCAUUAAACUGUUGAAUUUUUUUUUUUUUGUACUUAGACUAGAUAGAUACAGCAGUCUGAUUUUUCUAAACUGCCGUACGUUCACUGUUUUAAAACCGGCAAGGGGCUGAUAAAAUAUUAAUUUGUAUUGUCCCUAUGGCUGAGAAGAAUAAAAAAGCCUUUUUGGUAACUGUGAAGAAAGGCUUUUAACCCAUUUUUGGAAUAGGUUAAAGUUUGAUGUGUUUUAUAAUUUGUUCUCCAGUCAUGUGAGCAGAUUUUUCUAGAGAGAAAAGGGAUAGGAGACAAAAACUUGAAAGAAAUUGCUUUACUUUGGCUGUCUUUUAUUCUGUCACAGCAAGAUGAGUUUUGUAAUUUUUUAAAUUGGAGAAUACACACUUUCUUUGGGAGGUUACGGCAGCUGAAGACGGACUUUGUUUCCUAACUGUAGGCAAAAGGAGGAGAUUUGGAGUAUGUUCUCUUUUACCAGCACAUCACUAUGCAUCUGUUUUGAGGGGGAAAAAUAAAACUUAAAAAUAAAAAAAAAAAAUAAAAAAAAGGAGGAAAAAAGACUGCCUGCCUUGAGGAGUCACGUGAGGGAAAACUGUGCCUGAUUUCAUUAGGAAAUCCAUUCUGUUAUUUUUUGGUGCUGUUGGCUACUUUAUCAAAAACCCUUCAAUAGCAUCCUUUAAAAAAAA